rnacentral:rRNA from 1 species
AUUGAACGCUGCCGGCAGGCUUAACACUUCCAAGUCGAGCGACCGGCGGACGGGUGGGUAAUGUCUGGGAAACUCCCUGAUGGGGGGGGUUAACUACUGGAAACGGUAGUUAAUACCGCAUACCUUCGGAUCACCCCAGAUGGGAUUAGCUAGUCGGUGGGGUAAUGGCUCACCUAGGCGACGAUCCCUAGCUGGUCUGAGAGGAUGACCAGACAGACUGGAACUGAGACACGGGCCAGAGUCCUACGGGAGGCAGCAGUGGGGAAUAUUGCACAAGGGGCGCAAGCCUGAUGCAGCCAUGCCGCGUGUGGGAAGAAGGCCUUAGGGUUGUAAAGCACUUUCAGCGAGGAGGCGUUACUCGCAGAAGAAGCACCGGCUAACUCCGGGCCAGCAGCCGCGGUAAUUC